AUCCACAUAAUAUCCUAGGUAGUACUAUGGAUCCUUGCGCACGACCUCCAUAGGUACGACCUAUACCAGUGCCGUCUCUCCGUCUUUAGUGACGCAGGAUCCAAGGUCUAACCAGGGAGACUGGUCUCCGUAUAGCAGCAUGUACAUUACGCUGCUACUGCUUACCACCGCGUUGUCAAGCGGUGGAUAGGAGCAUCGAAAACACAGCCAGAGCUCUAGCGCUGCAUGUCGGCGCGCAGUGCACCGCCGAUAGCCUGGGCGACUCGCUGCUAGCGCUGGCUAUGAAUUAGCUGGGCGAUAGGGCAUUCAGAGACUCGUUUUCAUGUCGACUGGGGAGGUAAAAACCCUCAUUAAGACCGUGUUUGUCUGGUUUUUAUUGAGGUACAUCGCUACUAUCGCUGUGAGCUACUAGCAACGGUAUAACCUCCAACACUGUGUCAGGUACAUCAACAAAAGUGGACCCGAAGUAAUGCCGGUUUACCUUCGAGGCAAAGUUGAGCUGGAUAACGCAACAAUGUCAACAUACCUAGCAUCAAGCAUUCCAGAUGGCCUUCGUUGUCUCCUUACCUGCUCAAUCUCGCUCAUGACACAACCAUCAAAUUUGUCAGCGCUGUCGUGUUUGAGGAAUCUUCCUUCAGGUGAACCAAAAAUGGGAUGUCCACUUAAGUUCAACUGUGAAGAGAGAUGAAGCAUUUUUCAUGCUAUGGAAUCUUAAAUUCCCUUCCCUUUUUGCAUCACUGAACCAUAGAAAAGCAGCACAUGUAGGCCUGUGAUCCUCUGGAAGGACUAAAUAGUACAUCAAACUUGUUCAGAAAAAGGACAUGUAAAACUACUUAUGGCCUGAGUUACACCAGCUAUGUUGAAACUUUUAGGUUAUGUCACCUUCAAUCCUUCAACAAACAGUCAAAGUGAUAUCUGCCACUCAUUCGAAAAAUCAUUGCCCAACUCGAAGCUUCAAAAGUCCUGGAUAUUAUUUCAAAGUGGUAUCAAAUUUCUUGAUACAGACCUCUCAUUGAACUUUCUCAGACUAUGUAAAUCUACAUACGCAUACUACAAUUAUGUAUAGAGUAUAUCAUGUGACAAGGUAACCCCCCUCCCCCCCUGUAUCACUCUAACUUACUUUAUUUCAUUUUCUCUGUCUUUACUUUAUUUGUCUUUCUCUCCCGCCUCCCCCUCUCAUGCCUAAACUGAUGCUUGUGCUAUCUGGUUAAGAUUUACAACCACAUUUUUAAAAAUCUAUUUAAAUUGGUUCUUCUUUUUAGACUUGUGAAUCAGCCAGAUAAUAUACUUUUCAACUGUAUACUUUCUCCAUUUAAUCUCUCUCUAUUCUAUUCAGAUCUCUGUUCCCAUUUUCACCUUUGAUUUAAGAUUAAGCCUUAUUAAUGAUUUAUGCAUACAGUUUAAGCCAUUUCCCCAUGUUAUAGCUAUUUAUAAUUACAUUGUGUGUUAUUGUUCUUUCCCUAUUUCUCUCAUGUUUCUUUCACCCUUAGUGUCCCCAUCUCUCUCCUCCACCCCUCCCCCGUCUCUUGCACACAUACAUCCUCUUGUCAUUCUUGUAUCCUCUUUCAUCUGUUUUAUUUCAAUUCAAUAUAAACUCUAUUCUAAGGCCUUACAUUCUUUGAUGACAAAACCUACCCAUAAUUUGAUGGGCAAUUAUGUUGAUGAUAGUUUGCAUUUUUGCUUAUCAGUUUUACAAGCUUUAUUGUAAAGCUUUGUUGUUUGGUUAUUUGCACUGUCUUCUAUUGAAGGUGUUUAAAUUAUUGUUCAUAUUAAACUGUAUUUGUAAUAAUUUAUAUUCUGGGAUUUCUGGCUUACAUGUACUGUAAAUGCACAGACAAACGUGCACAUAGAGCAUUACAGUUACUAAUUAAUUUAUGCAAUCCUGUAACUCUAGUAAUUACUCCAUACAUGUAUCAACAACUGUAUACUUCAAAAUCAAGAUCUUAUCCCAUGAUCUUACUUUUAAGAAAAUGAAUCAGUAGUGCCAGUAUAUUAGAUUGGUCCAGUCAUUGAGAGGGCACUGGUGUCUUAUCCCCUUCUCUUUCUUUAUAGAUUUUUCCCCAUUUGAUGGGAGGAGAACACAGAUCUCCUCCAUGAAGAAAGUGCAUGCCAUUUAAAUUGUGUAAUUGAUAUAGAAAAGUGUAAUUAUAUUCAGCUUGUGCAAUGACGUACAUGCAAUUGUGCUCCUUGUCUUGGACUUGUAAAAGUGGAUUUGGAUGUAGGGCUAAACAAUAUUUAUAAUUUUCGGCUUUACGUAUGAUCUCGAGUUUUCAUCUGAUAACUGGUGAAUUCGGGGAGAUCGCUUAGGUGUGUAUCUCUAGAAUCUUAUUUUAUUUCUUAAUAUUUCAUAAUGUAUAUUGCAUCAUGUAAUAACUUGUCAUUAACCUGAUGUUGAUUUUGAUAUAUUGACUAUUUUGUAACACACUGGACAUCGAUUUGGGGGAUAAUAGACUUUACCUUUUAUGUUUUUAAGUAGUUGUGUUUGCAUGUUAUAACCCUCUGAUUUCAUCGAAUUUCAUUGAAAGAGAGGUAUCCUUGAAGUAGUUUAUAAGUUACAGUUCUUUAAGAAUACUUGCUGCAUAAUUUGAUAAUCCAUUAGUGUAUGCAUCAUUGAAUCACCCAAGAUUUCAAUAUGGUGGAGAGAUGAAAAGUCUCUUGUAGUUUUGUUUUACAUCAAGUAGCAUUUUUAAACAGAGUACUGGUAAGAUAGCUCCUAAUGCUUGGCUAUAGUUCGCCCAGUAAAAUUGAUGUCUGCAUUUAGGUGCUGUGUUUUGAUAUAAUUUAAGUAUGUGCCGGAGAAGUAAAUCAUGUAAAAAGCUAUAAGAAA
rnacentral:lncRNA from 1 species